rnacentral:rRNA from 1 species
AACGAACGCUGGCGGCAGGCUUAACACAUGCAAGUCGAACGCACCCUUCGGGGUGAGUGGCAGACGGGUGAGUAACGCGUGGGAAUCUACCCUUUCCUACGGGAUAGCUCCGGGAAACUGGAAUUAAUACCGUAUACGUCCUGAGGGAGAAAGAUUUAUCGGGGAAGGAUGAGCCCGCGUUGGAUUAGCUAGUUGGUGGGGUAAAGGCCUACCAAGGCGACGAUCCAUAGCUGGUCUAAGAGGAUGAUCAGCCACAUUGGGACUGAGACACGGCCCAAACUCCUACGGGAGGCAGCAGUGGGGAAUAUUGGACAAUGGGCGCAAGCCUGAUCCAGCCAUGCCGCGUGAGUGAUGAAGGCCCUAGGGUUGUAAAGCUCUUUCAGUGGGGACGAUAAUGACGGUACCCACAGAAGAAGCCCCGGCUAACUUCGUGCCAGCCGCCGCGGUAACAC